UACGUAGGGUGCAAGCGUUGUCCGGAAUUAUUGGGCGUAAAGAGCUCGUAGGCGGUUUGUCGCGUCUGCUGUGAAAAAUCAGGGCUUAACCCUGGACCUGCAGUGGGUACGGGCAGACUGGAGUGCGGUAGGGGGAGAUCGGAAUUCCUGGUGUAGCGGUGAAAUGCGCAGAUAUCAGGAGGAACACCGGUGGCGAAGGCGGGUCUCUGGGCCGAUACUGACGCUGAGGAGCGAAAGCGUGGGGAGCGAACAGG
rnacentral:rRNA from 1 species